rnacentral:rRNA from 1 species
UACGUAGGGUGCAAGCGUUGUCCGGAAUUAUUGGGCGUAAAGAGCUCGUAGGCGGUCUGUCGCGUCGGCUGUGAAAACCCGAGGCUCAACCUCGGGCCUGCAGUCGAUACGGGCAAACUAGAGUACUGCAGGGGAGACUGGAAUUCCUGGUGUAGCGGUGAAAUGCGCAGAUAUCAGGAGGAACACCGGUGGCGAAGGCGGGUCUCUGGGCAACAACUGACGCUGGAGGAGCGAAAGCGUGGGGAGCGAACGGG